GGGCAGGUGGCCGAGUGGUUGAAGGCGCUAGUCUCGAAAACUAGUAAGGGGGCAACUCCUUCGAGGGUUCGAAUCCCUCUCUGCCCGCCA
rnacentral:tRNA from 1 species